AGCCGCCGCGGGAAUACGUAGGUGGCAAGCGUUGUCCGGAAUUAUUGGGCGUAAAGCGCGCGCAGGCGGAUCAGUCAGUCUGUCUUAAAAGUUCGGGGCUUAACCCCGUGAUGGGAUGGAAACUGCUGAUCUAGAGUAUCGGAGAGGAAAGUGGAAUUCCUAGUGUAGCGGUGAAAUGCGUAGAUAUUAGGAAGAACACCAGUGGCGAAGGCGACUUUCUGGACGAGAACUGACGCUGAGGCGCGAAAGCCAGGGGAGCGAACGGGAUUAGAUACCCCUGUAGUCCCUGUCUCUUAUACAC
rnacentral:rRNA from 1 species